AGCAGCCGCGGUAAUUCCAGCUCCAAUAGCGUAUAUUAAAGUUGUUGCAGUUAAAAAGCUCGUAGUUGAAUUUCGGGACCAAUUUGUUGGUCGUGCCUCGGUACGUACUGAUAUUAUUGGUUUCUCCCUUCUGAAGAACCAUGAUGCCAUUAAUUUGGUGUCGUGGGGAAUCAGGACUGUUACUUUGAAAAAAUUAGAGUGUUUAAAGCAGGCUUUCGCUUGAAUACAUUAGCAUGGAAUAAUGAAAUAGGACGUUUGAUUCUAUUUUGUUGGUUUCUAGGAUCGACGUAAUGAUUAAUAGGGAUAGUUGGGGGCAUUAGUAUUCAAUUGUCAGAGGUGAAAUUCUUGGAUUUAUUGAAGACUAACUACUGCGAAAGCAUUUGCCAAGGAUGUUUUCAUUAAUCAAGAACGAAAGUUAGGGGAUCGAAGACGAUCAGAUACCGUCGUAGU
rnacentral:rRNA from 1 species